CGCAGUGAAACGCGAUAACGCUUGUAUUCGCACUCUUCUGUNAGCAACGUCACCUCGAACAACAUGCGGGCUUUGCCUUCGGGCACUGGCCCCCUUGGCUUG
rnacentral:rRNA from 1 species